UAAAAUCAUCAUCCUCUUUGCCGUGUGCCUACAAUUGAAUUCCGAAUACACAAACGAAGAGAUGCCGUCAAUCCUCAAAAUCUGUUGGUAAUCCAUCUGACUCAUUGCCUCUCUGACACUCAUACUUGUCACCCUCUUUUACCCAAUCUCACUAAAAGCAAAAACCCUAGAAAACCCUCAAUCCUAUUAUUCCCAAACGAAGGAGAAACGACUGAGAGAUCUAGUGUCAAAUAUAGGACAACAAAUGUAAUGAGAAGAUUUUUUUGUGAACUUUUUGGCUUUUAAUUGUGAAAUCUGGCCUAAUUCUUUAGUUCAAGUUAAUAGUUCUUGUUUGAUUGAGUUCAACGAGGUUGACUAUUUGAAGACAUGCUUUUAUAAUAUUUUCUCAGGUUCUUUUUCCUGUUUUCCCCUUCCUCUGCCACAACACAAUGAGAGAUUCAGGAAUUUGGCUAUUGCUUGCUCGUGGAGAGUGUUAACCGUGUAAGAAGAAUCUUUCUCUGUUCCAGUUAUUGCUCUUGUUGAAAAGUUUAUCCAUCUUUAAAGUGAUUUAGGCCUUGUCCCGGAUGAAACUUAUAUUACUAAUUCAUUUUCCUUUGAUUUGUCUUUAAUACCAUCUCAUUAUGCAUAAGUUUGCUCGGUACACAGCAUAGAUACAUCAAAGGGGAUAGAACUAUUUCAUAAUUUUAUCUAGUGCGGCG
rnacentral:lncRNA from 1 species